UACGUAGGGCGCAAGCGUUGUCCGGAAUUACUGGGCGUAAAGCGUGCGUAGGUGGUUUGUUAAGUCUGUUGUGAAAGCCCCGGGCUCAACCUGGGAAUGGCAAUGGAUACUGGCAAGCUAGAGUGCGGUAGAGGGUAGUGGAAUUCCCGGUGUAGCGGUGAAAUGCGUAGAUAUCGGAAGGAACACCGGUGGCGAAAGCGGCGCGCUAGACCUCUUCUGACGCUGAGGCGCGAAAGCCAGGGGAGCAAACGGG
rnacentral:rRNA from 1 species